rnacentral:lncRNA from 1 species
AGGCUAACACCUACUACACCGAUUCAGUAGAACAAAAGACCUAGGCCCGCGACUCAAGCUCCUCCUUAGGUCCCAGCAAUAGGACGCGACAAGACUUCCAGUACUGUGACAAAGAUCAUGGGGACUGACCCUGCUAUCACCUCAAUAAUACAUGUUCAUAUGUGGAAGUACCCAACACUACGCGAGAAAGUGCCUCAGAAUCAAAAUCAGACCAGACCUCCAAUCUAGGGCAAAGCCUACACCCUCACCCAGUAGGAUGUUGAAGCCAACUCGGACGUGAUACAGGGUAUGUACACUAUCUGUCAUCACCUUGCGCAUAUUUUAAUUGAUAUUGGUGCUUCUCAUUCUUUUGUUUCACAUGCUUUUGUAAAA